rnacentral:lncRNA from 1 species
UCCCGCGCACACGAACGACCCAGAUCCGUUUCCUCUUUAAGUGCAGUCGAAUGACUGGAUUUGAUAAGAUCGUGCAGUCCAGAUUAAUUUUCUAAAUAAGAGAGAUCCAACAGCUGAGGAUGGACCACGUCGCCUCGAACAGACGAUCCAAAUUUAAUAAAGAUGAAUAUUUAAACUCCUCUUCAUCAAGAAUUCUAAACUUACCUUGCCAAAGAAGUGAUCGGAGAAG